ACGUAGGGUGCGAGCGUUGCCCGGAUUUAUUGGGCGUAAAGGGCGCGUAGGCGGCCACGCACGUCCGUUGUGAAAUCGCCCGGCUCAACUGGGCGGGGUCAGCGGAUACGGUGUGGCUCGAGCAAGCUAGGGGGCAAUGGAAUUCCCGGUGUAGUGGUGGAAUGCGUAGAUAUCGGGAGGAACACCAGUGGCGAAGGCGGUUGCCUGGAGCUUUGCUGACGCUGAGGCGCGAAAGCGUGGGGAGCGAUCCGG
rnacentral:rRNA from 1 species